rnacentral:rRNA from 1 species
GAUGAACGCUAGCGGCAGGCCUAACACAUGCAAGUCGAGGGAGAAGCCCUUUCGGGGGCAGACACCGGCGCAUGGGUGCGUGACGCGUAUGCAACCUACCUUUCACAGGGGGAUAGCCCGAAGAAAUUUGGAUUAAUACCCCAUAAUAUUAUUGGAUGGCAUCAUUUGAUAAUUAAAACUGCGGUGGUGUAAGUUGGGCAUGCGUCCUAUUGGCUAGUUGGAGUGGUAACGGCACCCCAAGGCUACGAUAGGUAGGGGUCCUGAGAGGGAGAUCCCCCACACGGGUACAGGGACAGGGACCAGACUCCUACGGGACGCAGCAGAGAGGAAUAUUAGGCAAUGGUCGGAAGACUGAACCAGCCAUGCCGCGUGCAGGAAGAAUGCCUUAUGGGUUGUAAGCUGCUUUUAGAUGGGAAGAAUAAGGCGUACGUGUACGUUGAUGACGGUACCAGAUGAAUAAGCAUCGGCUAACUCCGUG